UACGGGGGGGGGCAAGCGUUGUUCGGAAUUACUGGGCGUAAAGCGCACGUAGGCGGCUUUGUAAGUUAGAGGUGAAAGCCCGGAGCUCAACUCCGGAAUUGCCUUUAAGACUGCAUCGCUUGAAUCCGGGAGAGGUGAGUGGAAUUCCGAGUGUAGAGGUGAAAUUCGUAGAUAUUCGGAAGAACACCAGUGGCGAAGGCGGCUCACUGGACCGGUAUUGACGCUGAGGUGCGAAAGCGUGGGGAGCAAACAGG
rnacentral:rRNA from 1 species